rnacentral:misc_RNA from 1 species
ACAAACUUGGUCAUUUAGAGGAAGUAAAAGUCGUAACAAGGUCUCCGUAGGUGAACCUGCGGAGGGAUCAUUAUUGAAUACAUAUUCAAACCUUUCAAACCCUGUGGAUAUAUCAAAAUGUGUUUCGGCGCUUCGGCGUCGUAUUUAUGCUAUAUCACGUAUAUUUGAAGUCUAAAUUAUAAAUAAAAAUUAAAAACUUUCAACAAAGGAUCUCUUGGCUCUUGCAUCGAUGAAGAACGCAGC